GACGAACGCUGGCGGCGUGCCUAACACAUGCAAGUCGAACGGACGCGGAGGAGCUUGCUCCUCCAAGUUAGUGGCGGACGGGUGAGUAACGCGUGAGCAACCUGCCUUUCAGAGGGGGACAACAGUUGGAAACGACUGCUAAUACCGCAUAACGUGUUUUGGAGGCAUCUUCGAAACACCAAAGAUUUAUCGCUGAAAGAUGGGCUCGCGUCUGAUUAGAUAGUUGGUAGGGUAACGGCCUACCAAGUCGACGAUCAGUAGCCGGACUGAGAGGUUGAACGGCCACAUUGGGACUGAGAUACGGCCCAG
rnacentral:rRNA from 1 species